rnacentral:rRNA from 1 species
UACGUAGGCAGCAAGCGUUGUUCGGAGUUACUGGGCGUAAAGCGUGCGUAGACGGUUGCGUAAGUCGGAUGUGAAAUCCCCGGGCUCAACCUGGGAAUUGCAUUCGAGACUGCGUAGCUGGGGUGCGGAAGAGGGAAGCGGAAUUUCCGGUGUAGCGGUGAAAUGCGUAGAUAUCGGAAGGAACAUCAGUGGCGAAAGCGGCUUCCUGGUCCAGCACCGACGUUCAGGCACGAAAGCGUGGGGAGCAAACAGG